AAAAGAAAUACAUUUCUUAUAUAUUUUGGAGAAAGUUAGGAUACAUGUGAAAUAUAAAGAAAUUGACAAAUAACACAUUUUAACUGGUGACAGUAUAUGGGAUUUAAAGAUAUACAGUAUAUACAAAAAAUAAAAAGCUACAAAAAAAUAUGGAAGCCAGUUUAUUAGGUACUUUAAGUAGUUAAUAAUCCUGUAGGCAAUUUAUUAGGUAUAUUAAUACAUUUAAUAAUAAUUCAGUAACCUGUUUAUUCGGCACACCGACCCAUUAACGCUUCUGGAGACUGAGCUAUGUGGCUGGGGUUUGCUAUAUAAAGUAGGCAGUUGGGUAGCAGACUGUUUGAUUGAACGUGAGACUGGGCAAAAGAAGUACCUAAGGGACUUUUGAGCUUGAUCUGAUCGUCGGUGCCAGGCGCGCCAGUUCCAGUUUCUCAGAAACGGCUUCCCUCCUGGCCUUUUCACACGCGACAGUGUGUAGUGUUUACAGAGACUGGUGAGACAAACAACAUCCUGUCUGCCGCAGCAGUCCUGUGGGCAAAAACAGGUAGUUGAUGAGAGAGGUCAGAGAAGAAUGGAAGGAAUCGUACAAGCUAACUGGUGGGCUGCUAACCCCCCCCAAAAACGGCACAGCACAACCGUGAGAUGCAUGACUGCACCUCGCCACGCACAACUCGUCGACCCUUGUCGUGGAUGUGCUGUUGCAGCCGAUUACAACACCGGGCUCCUCUCCUACCAACUAAAAACAGAAAGCAUUUUCAGUGGGCCUGGGAUCACCAACACUUGAUCGUUGAGGAAUGAAAUGACCCCAACUGGUAUAACGAAUUUCAGCUCCAGUUAUGUCUAGCCGUCAGGAUUUGGCGUAAUCCGAUUGUGUCCACGGACCCAUUCUGCCUGCCCGGCAGUGGUGUAAUGUUACAGAGAAUGUUUUCCUGGCUCCCCAUAGAUACCAAUUGAGCGAUGCAUCGUUGCAGACCAGGUGCAUCCCUUCAGGGCUACAACUUACCGUUUGUCACGUGAAACCUUCCAACUGUAUAAGCACAUAUUGUCUCUAGAUAUUUUUUCUGAAUGGUUCCCGGAACAUGACUGCGAGUUCAGCUUCUUGAGUGGCCUGCACCAUCAGCGUAACAAUCCCAAACCACGAUUUUGGGGUGAGAUGAAUGUACAGACGUCGAAUGUUUCCAACCUCUUGUAGAAGGUCCAUUCCCUGAUGAUUUUAGGCUGUUCUAGAAGCAAAGGGGAGUCCGACCUGCUAAUAGUUGGGUGUACCUAACAAAAUGUCUAGAGUAUUACUUGUCAUUUUUUUUAUAUUUCACAUAUUUUUUCCCCAAAUUGAUUUCCCAACGCUCUCACACACACAACGUGGACUGUCUUUUCGAGCAUAUUAUCUUAAAGCCUUUUCCGAACCCAUUCACGAAUGAUGUGCGAAAACCUCAUUGAUGAACUAUUGUGUGUGACUACAUCAAGUUGAUCAAAGAUGUCAGUGAAUAUCAAUAAACACUGUAAAUAAUAUUGAUGAAUAAUAUGUUGUUGGUGAAAUGUGUGCACAAAAAAAGUAGGUGUUUCCAGUGCCUCUAAAUAUAAGGGGUGUCAGUUUCCAUGUUGAAUUGAAAAAAGAAAAAAUACGUGUAUAUUUUAUUUUAACGGGUAUUGAGGUUGUCAGUCCAGAUGCUCAUGUUUAUAUAAAAACGGUGUGAAUUUUAAUCCUUAUAACUGCAUGGCAUGAUUGGUAGCUUGUUUCAAACAGUUGGCUCACUUUUCCCAAGGCUACUUGCAGAAUCUCCAGGCUUUCUUUCUUUAAAUGUUGUCAAUGGCUUUGCAUUCCUACAUUGUCCACUUUAAGCACAAACGCAUUGAUUGUAGAGCGCCAAGGUAGUUUAAGCGCACUGCACAACUUUAUCUGUUUGCUAAUACUUUUUAAAUUUGUUCAGCAUAUAUUCAUUCUUCAGGGUGCUUACCGCAGGGUGUAAAACACAGAGAGAAGUAACUUACUAUCACUGAUUAGGGGAUCAAAUAAUUGGUUGUGAAUGUUCCACAGAGCUUGAGCAGCACAAUUCCUCAAGGGCAUUGACCUUUCAGAGUCAACUGAACAGACAGAGACAAUGCUGUACUCGCUAAGCACAUUAGCUUGUUAAAUUAAAAAAAGACAAAGGAGACGCAAACUAACAAAAUGUACGCACCUGUCAAUAUGCAUGUAAAUAAAUCACAACACUAUGGAUACUGACUGAUAGAUGUGGAAAAUAGACUGUUGUUGGGGGGUCUGAGAAAGAGACUGAUGGAGCGGUUGAAAGCUAUAUGGACACCCCACUCAAUAUUUUAGUUUAUUUUGUGACGCUUAGUUUGAAAACGUCAAUUUGCGUAUGGUGGCACUUCAGUCUCUAGGGUAUUUCUUUCAAAGGGGAUGUCUGCAUGCUGCAUGGAACUAUGGGUAGCUUUACUUAACUGUGCAAUAUGAGUGAUGGGGCCUUAUGGCUGUGGGAGGUGGCUUGCAUAAAUAGUUGCAGUAUCAGACAAUCACAUCAGUGUUUUGUAACACAGGUCAGUUUAAAGGGAAAUACAUUUUUAAUCUUAUUAUUGUGAUUCCAUUUAAAUGUUUUAUUUCAGUUUUCUUUGUAUUGUCUUAUAUUUUUUUUAUAGUUUUGUUUUAUUGCCUGUAAAAAGAGCCUCAAAUUGGAAGAUGUUUUGAUUGACUGUAUUUAGCUUAAAAAAGACAAUCAUUGGAACCCCAGGGUUUGUCAUUAUCAGAGACCAAUGAGUCAGCUGUCUGUUUAGUUUAGUUCUGUUGUUUUCUGCAUAAGGCAUCUGCUGACUACUCACAGUGGCAAGAGUUGCUGUUUGUGCUUGCCAAGCACUUCGCUUUCUCCUCCACAAUAAGUUUGAUGCCAAAAAUACAAACUGUGAAUGUUUGCGAUAACGCCCGUCGGAAUCCGGUCUUCUUUCUUCCCCGCUCGUUUACUCACAUUCACUGUCGCUUGUUUUCAUCACCAAGCCAGACGUGCCUUUGUAACUUUAUUUUUAGCUUAUUAAUUUACACAUUUAAUUCUGUGGUAUAAAAGACAAUAUAUAAAAAAAAUAAAAACAUGGUAACCUUUGACUGUGGAAAGCCAAACCCUGGAGAUCAUUGUGAAUUGUUUUUAAUAAACAUGUUCCUAUUUUUUUUGUUUUCCUUUUUAAUGAAAUGUUUCCAUUUUGGAUGCUUUUUGGGAAAUGUGUAAUGUUUUACAGAUCACUGUCUUGUCCAAUAAAAUGUAAGCCAAAGGC
ensembl:lncRNA